UCCAGCAGCUCCCUGACCCGCUGCACUUUGGGUGGCGAUGAUAGCAAAGAAAGAAAGGAGCACUUUGGGCCUCGGAGCUACCAUUGAUCUCAGACAAGGUGGGGGAAGGAGGUGGAUGUCUCAACUCCAGCUCAAGGGACCAGAUGCAAUGUCUGCUUUACACUGUGCUCUCCGAUGGGAAGGCAGCCACUUCCAUUCUGCCACUCCACUCUGAGUGGAGGAGUGUGGAGGAGUGUGAGGAGAGUGAGGACCUCCACUCUGGAGUGGAGGAGACUUUUUUCACCUUCCUCCUUGCUGCUAGUGGGGAAUGCUGUGCAGCCUCCUGAAUGUCUGAAUGCUAACUGUGUCUAUUACUGAUGCUCCUGCACAUCCAUUGCCACGAUAGGAGAGGCAGUGCCCCAGCUUCCAUCUGCACCUUCUCUUUCAGCAGUGACCUCAUGGUGUGAGGGGAAAGGAUGCAAAUGCAGAUCAAAAACUCUUCAAGAAUGGCAGCUAGGGGGCUAGCAGCAAACUGCAGCAUGUGGCUGCUGGAGCUUAGACACGGCUGUCCUUUCUGAUGGGACUGCAGGGAAUGUGUGCAGUGCUUCUCAGAAAUAUUAUUCUUCUAUGCUAGGUCUCCUUUUGCACAACGGGGAUACUUGCCUCUGUCAAACUUGUGGUCGAAAUCCGAGAUCGGCGUGUGCAGAAGGAGAAGAGUGAACUUCCCGGAGAUGCCUUAAGAUGUCUCCCUUCCUCGUCUGUUUGGAGAUGACAGCAGGUGCCUUCCGCAGGACUGGGCUGCCUGCAGGGUGGGGCUGCGGGGAAGCCAGUCAGUCUCGGAGGGCAAUCAAGGAUUUCUGAAAACCUUCCAAAGCAAAAGUUAAUGGAAAAGAGAGCCUCACCGCUCACAGGCCACUUCUUAAACUAGAAACGUUCAGCUAAAACAGUGGGUCAGUGCUUUUGGGACUUGAGGGAAUGACACUAAGGCUGGAAGCCUUCAGCUGCAGAGGGCAGAGAGAAGAGUGUCUGGGUGCCUGUGAGAGCGAGGAGCAUGCUGAGGACUUGUCCUUCUGUGCCCUUUGUCACUGCUGUAAGCUGCAUCCUUGGCCAUCCUGGCACAAGAAACUAUCCCACAUGAUCCCCAGAUGUCAAUAUCCAUGGACACAAGUUUCUAGAGGCUCAGCAGGAAGAGGAUCUGCCAGCUCCACUGAUUUCAGUGGAGUUGUACAAACAGCAAAAAGUCCCGGGAUUGGUGCAAUUGUGCUGUCUCAGCUCCAGACAAGCAGGAAGUCCUGCAGCAUUGUGAUCCUGCAGGCGGGAGGCCUGGGAAGCACAGCAGCCACGCAAUCAGGUCGACUCAGUCUUGAGACUGGCUCCAUUAGGUCAAGAACAAAAGGCAAACAAAAGCAGCCCUUACAUAGCAAAUGUGCAGGAAAAUGUGGAGAAGUAGACCAGAUGAAGGAGAGAAAUCUUAUGGACUGAAGAAGACAAGAAAUCUUACUGUAAGAUGCAGGAAAUUGCCAAUUGUCUCAUUUAGAGUUUAGUUUCACAAAGGCCAAGAGGUCAUAUUUACAUUUGCAUGAUAGAACACAAAGAAUACUUGCAAUUCUUGAAAUAGCAUAAAGGGGGAACAUUCUGGAUGACCCUGUUGUUAACAUAGUCUUGAAGUGGAAUCUGGAACAGAUCAGCCAUUAUGCAACAAACCACUCAAAAGACUACAAAAAGCUGUGUGUCAGCACAAUUUUGAUUUUUAACGGGAAUUAGUGAAGUUUGUAAGAACUUAAAGAAAAAAAGAAAAGAGAAGCUUGUUCCGGAAAGAUACACUUCCAUAAACUCAGUGACAGAUGAGAACAGACUUUGUAACUCACACACUGAAACUGAUCUAUCUACUUAGACAUGCAAACGUCGUUUUGAAUAAGUCCAACAUUUUGAAUUGUCAGCGGUGGAAAGAGGUUUCUCUAAAGGCAACUUGAUUCUUCAGCUAUCCUAAACUUGUAAGCCAUGUAGAAUCAAGGGGGAAAAGAAAAUUGAAAGAUUCUGCUUUACUAGGAUUUGGUGACUGAAAGAACUCAUUAAAAUAACAUUUUACACUCUAUAACCUCUUCACAAGCAAAUACUCCUGGCAGCACUACUCCUAUCAUACUUAAGGAUACUUUAAAGAGGAUGGCCAGGACCUUUGCCUGGGAUGGAAGAGGAAGAAGCACAUAGCCAGUGCUGGCUGGGCAGGCUCUGAGCACAUUCCUCUGCCCUCCAUGUGUGCAGCAGCAGUAACACCCCAGGGCUUUCAUUCUAGCUGACUUAUUUUGUCUUAUUCCUAACUUGCAAGUUGUAUGCCUCGCUGCACUGGUAACUUCAUGAGACUGUGACCCAGUUGAGGCAUGGUCAGAGGUUAAUGGUCCCUCUUCACCUUAAAGGACAUGCAUUUGUGAAGUGAUCAGAAACACCGGGAGAUUCAUAACUUUUCUCCUUCACAGAAGUAUGACAAGACAUAUAUAGCACCCACAGUGGGAAUCAUGUCAUUUUACCUCAGCACUAACUGAUUUAGCAGCACCAUCCUGACUUAUGCCAGCUACUGCUUCAACUCGUUGUCUGUAGGAGAGAGACAAAUGCAUUUGGUAGCUAUCCAACAUAAGCAGAACUCUCCCAUGGUGGACAGGUUUGGAAUAUUCCAGGACUGACAAAAUGGGAAUUCCUAUCAGUUCCAGCCCAAGGUCUCAUGGAUGUCUUGAGUAGCUUUGCAGCUUUGUUGUGACAUUAGACCAAUUUUCCAUCAUGACCAGCAUGAUCCUACUUGGAUAUUCCAGAUGGUGUCCUGUCCUUUCCUCCGAAGGGAUAGGUCAUGUCUGACACAGCAAAAGCAGAUUUCAAUGGUGUUCCUGAUUUAAAUCCAGAAAACAAGACCUUGAUGAAUUCAUGCUCCUAAUUAUCAGUGGAGACUACCAGAUUGCUGAACAUCAGGGAGGGGAACUGCAUUUUCCUUCUCAACUUCUUGUAACCUAAAGGAGUAGGAAGACUGCUUUAUGCUUAUGGUUGAUAGGGUGUAUAAUGUGCACAGAGAAAUCACACUUCACCUUGCAAAUUUAUCAUACUAUUAUUGUACAGUUUUUCUACAGUUAAAACCUACAAGUUGCUAAAAUUGCUACCACUGUCAAAUGCUACUCAGACCUAAAAUAUGUCUAUAGUUAUCAAAACUGAGCUGUGAAGCCAAUGGGUAUAAGAGACCUAACUGUGAAGCUCUUGCUUCGGGUUACAGGUGGUAACAGAGAAAAAGAAAGAAAUAUUUGCAUUAGCAGUUCUGAUCUAACCAGGACACAGUCAAAUUGACAAUCAUUUUCAUGUAAAGACCUAAUUAAGCUUUGAGUUCUAGUUCAGUUUUGGGAGGAAGUACUGAAGUCCUUAUAACAAGGAUUAGAAGAUGCAACGAGUGUCUUGAAACAGCUCCUGAAGUCAGGGUUGCUCAUCUUUCUUCUUCCUGAUGAGAGCAAAGAUAAUAUCUGCACUGAUGAGGAGCAAACUGAUUGAUUUGCUUGAGAAGUUUCCAAAAGCAUAAGUACCUUUCCCUGAAGCAACCUAAUACGACAAAAAAAUCCCUUUCCUCUUAAAAAAAAACCAAAAAAAACAACCCACAUACAAAAUAUGCACAUUUCAGCACUUUUCCUCCCUGAGGUUUUCUCAGCCUAGGAAAAAAAAAAAAAAGAUGUUUUUUUCCAAUUGCCUGCAAAAGGAUUGCAUCUCUGCCAUGUGGCUGCAUCUGACAGUCAAAUACUGCUGAUGAGAAUCAUCAGUUCCUUCAAGGACUUGACAGUGCAUCCAAUUUGUUUCGCAAGUGACUGUGUAAGGAGGUGACUGCAGCUAUUAUUUUGUUAGAUUUAGUCAAAACAUCCCCAGAAGAGGUAGGAGGGCAUGCUGGGAAUUGUUUGAUGAGCCUGCUGGGAGAAUAAUUACAUGGCCAGCAGUUUGUUCACUUUAUCUUCUGUAGCACUUUCUUAGUGCCUAUUGUGUGGUUUCAGUACUCGUUUUUUUGAAUUAAAGAAUACUUACUGCUAUUGUCUCUCAGCUAAGUCCCAGAUUACGCUGUCUCAGAUGUGCAUUCUGGGUUGCUUCUGUGUUAUACGAAGAAUUAUAAAAUUUAAAUAUUUCCUUCAAUAUUCUCUUUCUUGCUCGAGAUGGAAUUUUCUGCACCGUAACUGUGACUGAACUGGGAAGAGCUGCCUUCUGAUGAUGAUGCUUACACAGACCAUAGGACCAAUUCUCCUGUAAUCCUGCUGCUCUGAGCAGGAUGAAUGUCAAAACUUGCAACUUCAACACAAUGUUUUUGGUUUCAAAUUGCAUGUAUGAACGUUGAUUUUGUUUUUAAUGUAACAUGUUACAGCUUAAAGCUUUCAAGAAUAGCCUAGGUAGCAGGGAAACAAAGAUCUGUUAGAAUUUCAGUUUGUUUCAGCAGCUUUUGAAAAAAUAAAUGGGUAUGAUCCCCUGGAAGACAGCAUGUGGAAGUAUUACCAAAAUAUUAAUUCUGAGGUGACAGGAAAAUCGAAAGCUAUGAAAGGAAUCACAUUAAAAACUGGAAACUGUGCUUAUUCAGCUGUCUACAAGGGGGUCCAUGACAGCUGUGGGCACCUUCUAUAAGGCAGGAAUGCAAUAAAAAAGGUGGUAAUAGCAAACCUCAUCCAGCAAUUCACCUGCCAAGAGCAGUCUGAUCGCUCCUUUGUAGACCAGUUCUCUUCUCAGCUGUUGUUCCUGAUCCAACAGACCUGCCUGUGUGCAUCCUAAGCCAGCAUCAGUUCUCUGAUGGGUGCAGUACGUGUGCUUUUUGGCACUUCAGGACAAAAUACAUGGCUGCACAUCCCUUGUUUUAAAUAAAUUGAAGUGAAUACAAAAGAAGGAGAAGAGAAAGUAAAGGCUGUAAAAAUUACCACAUCAGAGCAUUUUGCUGCUAGAUGUAUGGAUAAAAAAUAUUGCUUGUGACUCCAGUGAAAUGAGCCUGCUCUUAGAGAGCCUUCUGCAAUCUAUCUUGUUUGUGCACUUUGGAUUUCAGAAGAAUUAACCUUAAUGGAGUAGAGUUGAAAACAUCGGAUCAUUGGCCAAAGCUUUAAAAAAAAGGUUUCCUUGCUACAGAAAGAACAUUAGCAUUCUCACAAAGAAGGUUCCAUAGAAACAAGAAAUAUGUUUUUACAGCAAAACUCCCUUUGAUGUGAAUCUUGAGCAAAGCACAGAAAAGGGCCAGUGGGAUUCUAUUUUCUUCUGUGUACGCUUGUGCAAUUCCUUUUUUAUUUUUUGCUAAUGGGCCACCUGGGAUGUCUUCUUUCUGGUGACUGAACCAAGGCACCUUAGCAGGGUGGGAGGGAUACAAAGGGUUCCUCAAAGGAACUCACUUGCUGUAAGCAGCUUCGCAGAGGGAAAUAUUUCUGUGUCCUUUACCCAUCUUUUUGGUUUCUUCACAAUGUCUGCUUCACCUUGCAGUUGCACAGCAGAAGUGCAACUUGAAUUACCAGCCAGCAUCAGCUCCAGCAAUCUGCUCCUGACAGAAGCUAGUGCUGGAGAAAAAUUCAAGAAAUUACCUUAUUGGCAACAAAGAAAUGUCAGGUAUAUGCUGGAAAAUAUCUCUUUCUUUCCAUUCAUUAGAAAUCGGGCUUAACUCUGAAGUCUGACAGUUUUUAUCCUUUUUAAGUGUUCAGUAUAUUAAGUCAAUCCAUAUCUUUCUGAAUACCAAAUAUAUGUCAGAGGUCAGUCAUUGCUUUGUUUUCCUUACAAGAUUAUUUUCUCUUACACUUUUAUCUCACGAUCUUUCAAGCUCACUUUGAUUUUCUUUUAAAAAGCCACUACAGCUCAGGAUUACAUUAUUUAAAACUCUAAAUUUAAUGAUUAUUGUAUCUAACUUCUUUUAUAUUGAUGCAAGGCUCACUGAUCUUCAAUUUAAAGCGACUGAUGAAAGCACUACAAAAAACCUCUAAAAAUAUUUUGCUAGAUAAUAGACAGCUUUGGCAGGAUUGCAAGUAAAGCUUUUUCUCUUUUUUUUUUUGUUAUUGAGUUGAGCAUUUUGUCCUCAGCCUUCCUCCGAAUUCUGCUGUUUUACCACUGUCCAGUUUAGCAGUGUGUUUUAAUAUCUUUUGUACUUAUACCACUACCUGCCUUUACCUCAGUUUUACUGCCUAACAAUCAGACAAAAUUUCAGUUACAGCUGUUUUGGAACACAUCUUUAGAAACUGGGAAACUUUGUAUACAAAAACGUGCCUUCAAGUCCAUGUUAUACGUACACGUUACUGGCAGUCGGAUUUUUGUUUUUAAGCUCACAUAGUUGUGAAUUAUGCCUAUUCCUCCUUUAUACUGUUCAGUAUUAUCACUACUAAAAAAUAACAGACGGCAGUUUGUCCUGACAGAAGGAACAUAUUAGGUAGGAAUUGUCUAAACACCUUGUCAGCUCUUCAAGUCAGCAGUUUCCUAAAAUUGUACAAGAAUUUCUGUGAGAGAACUGUCUUUUGUAGUAAUGCUGCUUCACCUGAACGUUCCUCUCUUCUACAGUCUUUUAAGGUUAUUAUUGCACUUCUCUUUUUUUUUUAAGCUUGUAGAGUCUAUCUCAGAAAGUCAAUCUUCAGCCUUCAAAAUGAAGUCUAGUUUGAAGAAACAUUGAGAAUUGGAGUUCAUAGGGUGCUUUGAGUUCCUGCAUUAACUGCAUCUAGACGCAGCAAUGUAUUUUUCUCAUCUCUGUAGCCACGAAAAUCAGAAACGGAGAGGAAAUGAGGAGCAGAACGUUUGGAAGUGCCAGUUCAGACAUUUCAAUCAGUGAGUUUUGAAGCUUUGCAGCAGCCCAAACAGGUCAGUGAUGUGGCAAGUACUUUCUGCAUUGCCCAUCACUUGCUUGUGUAGACGACAGAUGCUUACAUGUCUGUGUUUUCUUUAUUUAAAAGAUUCUUGCAGUCCAUCCUGACUCAUUAUUUCACAAAUCUCCCUGCAUGAACUGCAUUACCUGUUUUCCUUUAUAUUUUAAUGAUCUGGAAAUGGCAAUUCCAAAAUACACAGUGGCACGAAGUCUGGAGAAAAACAGCAAAAGACAGAGUUUGGGUAGCAUGAGACUCAUUGAAAUUCUUCUGCAUUCUGCUUUUCUGCUGGUCUCUGCACCGCUGCUCACUGAAAAGCAGGCUUUGGUUCAAAUUUUAAGGAAAGGUUUUUGACAUCCAAAAGAUAAUGUAUUUGUUAUUUGUUUUCUUCCCAUGUCAUUUUUGGAAGGUCCAGAGUAAUAAAGGAAAUAUGUAACAUCUAAAUCCCCUGGUAGUGGAAAAAUGCUGUUUGAGCCAAGAGCACUGGAAUAAGAACUAUGCCCCAUGCCAAUAGCAUUUUGGAUGUCAACUGAGAUUUGUUUUGCAAGCAAUAAGGAUAUAUGCAAGCUGGAAUCAUUUAAAUACAGGAAAAACUGUACAUGAAUCAACCCAAAAAAUGCCCCAUGGCCUUUUUGCCUUUGUAAACACUAUUAUAGAAAUGACAACAAAAUAGUCUCACUGACCUUAUGCUUUGUCUUGCUACCUAGAAAAAAAAAAACCACAAAAUACAUGCAGUUCUGCUGGAAA